GGAUGAUGAGCGUUUACCGGUCUGAGUUGUGAUGAUACUGGCACUGUCUGAC
rnacentral:snoRNA from 16 species